GAUGAACGCUAGCUAUAGGCUUAACACAUGCAAGUUGAGGGACCGGCGCAAGGGUGAGUAACGCGUAUCCAACCUACCAAUAACUAAGGGAUAACCCAGCGAAAGUUGGACUAAUACCUUAUGGUUAUGGAUGGGGAUGCGUCUGAUUAGCUUGUUGGCGGGGUAACGGCCAACCAAGGCAACGAUCAGUAGGGGGUCUGAUAGGAAGGUCCGCCACAUAGUAACUGAGACACGGUCCAAAAGCCUAUGGGAGGCAGUGGUGAGGAAUAUUGGGAACUGGACGCAAGUCUGACCCAGCCAAGUAGCGUGCAGGAUGCCGGCCUAUGGGUUUUAAACUGCUUUUAUAUGGGGAUAGGUACCAUAUUAAUAAGGACCGGCUAAUUCCGUGCCAGCAGCCGCGGUAAUUC
rnacentral:rRNA from 1 species